AAAUUGUGUUUACAUCCCUCUCAACACUUUAAUAAUUUUAUAAAGUGUACUGUAUACAUAUUAAGCUUUACAUUGCCCAAAGAAAACCUUUCUUUACCUUUGUUUUUUAAUGACUAAAACAAUACUGGAUUUCAAUACUAGUAAAGUAACGACUUGACAGACUGCAAACAAAUAGCAGGUGCUAAGUAGGAAGGAACAAACCUGGUACUCCAAAUAUACUAGAGUGGCCACUACUCAGUCUUGUAAAGCAACAUUUAGAGUUUUGGUAACCUCACACUUUACACCCAUCCCAGCUACUCUAUUUUUUCUCCAUACUGUGUUAACUCAGCUGAAAGCUGCCAAAGCAUCAAGAACCUCAAAGCAGCAGCCAGCCUCCUGAAGCGCAAUGUCUUGCUCUAUCUGUACUACCACAUUCUCUUCUUUGACAGCCAAUUAUCCAGGGAGUAAACUGUCCUCCCAGCCCAGUCUGGACUUACAGAGAAGAGGUAGACAGACAAGUGCCUGCUCCAGUAAGCCCUCUGCAAAAGGUACAUCAGCAACUAAGGUAGGAAGUUUGAGGGGCACAGUGGAGUGAGGGGACUCAAGGAAAUUUUUUUUCCUGCUGUGUACAGGUAUAGAUGCAGGUUUGGACAUAAACCCAGACAUUUCAGAAGAGGACAAGGUUGUGGGAGGAGGUGGCUUUCCUAAUCACACAGGCAGAUAUGCUGUUGCUAUUUGCUCAUCCUGUGACAAACAGCAGCUGUCAGGAAUCAGCCACAUCUGCCACCACAACUUUCCCACAAUUGCAGGCCUGCUCUUGCCACUCAAAGAAAACGUAGAACUGUUCAAAAGAAACUGUACUCAGUAAAGGCAGCCACUAGAGGGGCUCACGAUCCUGUAUGUCAGCAGAAGUUCAUCCUACAGCACAGGAAAGAGAUCCAGAAAAAAAGCCGUGGCACCUGGCCAAGUGAAGUAUACAAAGAAAGUGUGGAUGCACACAUAGAAACAGAAGAACAGAUGCAGCUCCAUAAACAGACGUCCACUAUUUUUAGAGUUGCAUAAAAUAUAUCUAAGCAGCCAAAAGCCUAAAACUAUUAAACAG